GACGCCAUAGCUCAGUCGGUUAGAGCGUGGGUCUAAUAAGCCCAAGGUCGCAGGUUCGACCCCUGCUGGCGGCA
rnacentral:tRNA from 1 species